rnacentral:rRNA from 1 species
ACUCAAAUGAAUUGACGGGGGCCCGCACAAGCGGUGGAGCAUGUGGUUUAAUUCGAUGGUACGCGAGGAACCUUACCUGGGCUAGAAUGUGCGCGAAGACAUCAGAAACGGUGUCGGCUCGCAAGAGACGCAAAACAAGGUGCUGCAUGGCUGUCGUCAGCUCGUGUCGUGAGAUGUUGGGUUAAGUCCCGCAACGAGCGCAACCCUUGUGGUCAGUUGCCACCAUUCAGUUGGGAACUCUGACCAGACUGCCGUCGUAAGAUGAGAGGAAGGGGAGGACGACGUCAAGUCAUCAUGGCCCUUACGCCCAGGGCGACACACGUGCUACAAUGGCAGGAACAACGGGCAGCCAACCCGCGAGGGGGAGCGAAUCUCGUAAAUCCUGUCUCAGUUCGGAUCGGAGUCUGCAACUCGACUCCGUGAAGUUGGAAUCGCUAGUAAUCGCGGAUCAGCCACGCCGCGGUGAAUACGUUCCCGGGCCUUGCACACACCGCCCGU